rnacentral:tRNA from 1 species
GCCUCUGUAGCUCAGUUGGUUAGAGCGCUGCACCGGAAUCGCAGGGUCGUAGGUUCAAUUUCUACCAGAUGAC